CUGCGUGAAGUUGGAAUCGCUAGUAAUCGCGGAUCAGCAUGCCGCGGUGAAUACGUUCCCGGGCCUUGUACACACCGCCCGUCACACCAUGAGAGUCGGGAACACCCGAAGUCCGUAGCCUAACCGGAAGGGGGCGCGGCCGAAGGUGGGUUCGAUAAUUGGGGUGAAGUCGUAACAAGGUAUC
rnacentral:rRNA from 1 species